rnacentral:rRNA from 1 species
AAUGGGCGAAAGCCUGAUCCAGCCAUGCCGCGUGUGUGAAGAAGGCCUUUUGGUUGUAAAGCACUUUAAGUGGGGAGGAAAAGCUUGUGGUUAAUACCCAUAAGCCCUGACGUUACCCACAGAAUAAGCACCGGCUAACUCUGUGCCAGCAGCCGCGGUAAUACAGAGGGUGCAAGCGUUAAUCGGAAUUACUGGGCGUAAAGCGAGCGUAGGUGGCUGUUUAAGUCAGAUGUGAAAGCCCCGGGCUUAACCUGGGAACUGCAUCUGAUACUGGACAGCUAGAGUAGGUGAGAGGGGAGUAGAAUUCCAGGUGUAGCGGUGAAAUGCGUAGAGAUCUGGAGGAAUACCGAUGGCGAAGGCAGCUCCCUGGCAUCAUACUGACACUGAGGUUCGAAAGCGUGGGUAGCAAA